rnacentral:tRNA from 1 species
UUAUUAGGGAGACCGUGGGAAAAGCAGCGAAAAAAAGACAGCUGCAAAACACCACAAUCCCAAGGUCAUCAAGCAAGUGAAGACAAGGAGUAGAAUCGUCAAACUAGAAGGGGUUCGGCAAAAUAAAGAACGGGCUAUUAGCUCAGGUGGUUAGAGCGCACCCCUGAUAAGGGUGAGGUCCCUGGUUCAAGUCCAGGAUGGCCCACCAUGGAUAAGUUCGAAAUUCAGAGUAAGAAACUCGGAGUGAAACGAGCGAGGGGGUAUAGCUCAGUUGGUAGAGCGCCUGCUUUGCAAGCAGGAUGUCAGCGGUUCAAGUCCGCUUACCUCCACCACAAGCCGAAAGCGAAGAGUGCCCGAACAGAGGAACAACAACUAGCAUCAUCUCAGCGAAAAGAUUAGCAGCGAGAGAAUGCUGGGGGUUAAACUCAGUACAGAACCUUGAAAACUGCAUAAAUCAAAACCAAGUUAAACACUAAUACUAAUUAGGUAACAAUCAGUAACGAAAAGUCCAGGUAAUUGAUAAUUACCAAGUCAGACCGAGAGAGGUCAAGCUACGAAGGGCUAACGGUGG